rnacentral:rRNA from 1 species
AUGCACGCUGGCGGCGUGCCUCAUCCCUGCCAGUCGAGCGAACAGACGAGGAGCUUGCUCCUCUGACGUUAGCGGCGGACGGGUGAGUAACACGUGGAUAACCUACCUAUAAGACCGGGAUAACUUCGGGAAACCGGAGCUAAUACCGGAUAACAUGUUGAACCGCAUGGUUCAACAGUGAAAGACGGUCUUGCUGUCACUUAUAGAUGGAUCCGCGCCGCAUUAGCUAGUUGGUAAGGUAACGGCUUACCAAGGCAACGAUGCGUAGCCGACCUGAGAGGGUGAUCGGCCACACUGGAACUGAGACACGGUCCAGACUCCUACGGGAGGCAGCAGUAGGGAAUCUUCCGCAACGGGCGAAAGCCUGACGGAGCAACGCCGCGUGAGUGAUGAAGGUCUUCGGAUCGUAAAACUCUGUUAUUAGGGAAGAACAAAUGUGUAAGUAACUAUGCACGUCUUGACGGUACCUAAUCAGAAAGCCACGGCUAACUACGUG